UGUAAUUCAUGUGUGAUGCAAGAAGAAACGGCGGAACAUAUCUUUUUGCAUUGUCCCAAAGUUGAGAUGGUCUGGGAUGAAAUUUUUCAAUGGCUGGACAUUAAAACAGCAAAGCCUAAAGGUAUUAUUCAACACUUUAAAUCCUUUGUCUUUGGUGUUUUUUUUUUUUUUUUGAUCGGGCAAAGUCAUGUUAGAUGUUAGUAAUUAGUUCCCCAUCCACUCCAAGAACCACCUUAUCUCUCCAUUCACCAAAUCCACCUUAUAUCUCCAAUCUCCAAUUCGCUCCCAAGAGGGAUCGAACCCGGGUCACUUCACUUAAGUGAGGACCCGGUGGCCAGUGGGCUAAGCCCCCUGGUUCCUUUGUCUUUGGUGCUAGAAGGAAGAAAGGGAGAAAACUGCUUCUUGCUCUUUGGGUUGGGAUUGUGUGGCUGAUAUGGAAAUGUAGAAACGAGAGCAGGUUUGAGGGUAGGGUGUGGGAUGAUAAGAAGCUUGUUUUGGAGUUUAAGGGUAGAAUCUGGAGUUGGAACAAGAUCUACCAAUUUGCGGAUGUCAAUGUUCCCUUCUCCUCUUGGUGUUCUUGUGAACAUAAACUUUCUUUUCUGUAAUACUCUUGGUAUCUCUGGUACCUUAGGUUCUCUCUUUUCUUGGCCAAUAAAGUUUCUCUUUCACUGAUCAAAAAAAAAA
rnacentral:lncRNA from 1 species